UACGGGGGGGGGCAAGCGUUGUUCGGAAUUACUGGGCGUAAAGGGCCAGUAGGCGGCCAACUAAGUCGGAUGUGAAAUCCCCAGGCUUAACCUGGGAACUGCAUCCGAUACUGGAUGGCUUGAAUUCGGGAGAGGGAUGCAGAAUUCCAGGUGUAGCGGUGAAAUGCGUAGAUAUCUGGAGGAAUACCGGUGGCGAAGGCGGCUACCUGGCCCACUCUUGACGCUGAGGCGCGAAAAGCUAGGGGGAGCAAACGGG
rnacentral:rRNA from 1 species